rnacentral:tRNA from 1 species
AGUUCUAUGCCUGAUAAAACGAAUAAAUUGUAAAUUUAUUUAUGAAAGUAUUUUCUGGGACUA